UACGUAGGCAGCGAGCGUUGUUCGGAGUUACUGGGCGUAAAGAGUGCGUAGGCGGUGCUCUAAGUUUGGUGUGAAAUCUCCCGGUUCAACUGGGAGGGUGCGCCGAAAACUGGAGUGCUCGAGUAUGGGAGAGGUAAGCGGAAUUCCUGGUGUAGCGGUGAAAUGCGUAGAUAUCAGGAGGAACACCUGCGGUGUAGACGGCUUACUGGACCAUGACUGACGCUGAGGCACGAAAGCGUGGGGAGCAAACAGG
rnacentral:rRNA from 1 species